rnacentral:sRNA from 1 species
GUAUCUGAAGUCUGACGAGGAUGAGAACCUCCGGGGCAAGAGGUUAGACCCGAGCGAAGCGAGAGAACGUUGCGCCAGCAACGGCCCGCAGGGCGAGCCAUCCUCUGUCACCGGCAG